rnacentral:rRNA from 1 species
GAUGAACGCUGGCGGCGUGCUUAACACAUGCAAGUCGAACGGAAAGGCCCUGCUCUUGUGGGGUUCUUGAGUGGCGAACGGGUGAGUAACACGCGAGUAUCAUGCCCUUGUCUUUGGGAUAACUCUAGGAAACUGGGGCUAUUACCGGAUAGGAGCUUCUGCUGCAUGGUGGGGGUUGGAAAGUUUCGGCGGUUGGGGAUGGACUCGCGGGUUAUGAGCUUGUUGGUGGGGUAGUGGCUUACCAGGGUUUUGACGGGUAGCCGGCCUGAGAGGGUGACCGGCCACAUUGGGACUGAGAUACGGACCAGACUGCUACGGGAGGCAGCAGGGGGGAAUAUUGCAGAAUGGGCGGAAGCCUGAUGCAGCGACGCCGCGUGCGGGAUGACGGGCUUCGAGUGGUAAACCGCUUUCGCCUGUGACGAAGCGAGAGUGACGGUACUGGGUAAAGAAGCACCGGCUAACUACGUG